rnacentral:rRNA from 1 species
UACGUAGGGGGCAAGCGUUGUCCGGAUUUAUUGGGCGUAAAGAGUGUGUAGGCGGCUUGGUAGGUCUCGCGUCAAAACCUGAGGCUCAACCUCAGUUCGCGUGGGAAACCACCUAGCUAGAGUCCGGAAGAGGAGAACGGAAUUCCCAGUGUAGCGGUGAAAUGCGCAGAUAUUGGGAAGAACACCAGUGGCGAAGGCGGUUCUCUGGGACGGUACUGACGCUGAGACGCGAAAGCGUGGGGAGCGAACAGG